AAACAAAGAGCCAUAAGCCGUGUUCGGAGAAUGCAGAUGGAGAUGUCGCCUCUAUACAUGUACCUGAAGUUAUUCUAUGAAUUCGGAGCUGGGAAUAUAGAGAACGGUCGUAAGAAUUACUAAUUUCCAACUCGGGAAGAAAAAAUAACGAAAACAUAUGGCUCAUAUUGUUGUUGUUUUUGAUGAUGUAGUUAGUAGAACCGAAGAAGACGACGAAUAAGGUUUGGGAGACUCAUCAAGUUUCCAUUGAAAUAGGAUCUACAAAGAAUACAAAGAGG